AUGGGGUUUCUGCAUGUUAGGGAUCUAUCAAAGAAUCAACUGACUGGCUCAUUACCAGACUUGGGGAGCUUGCGAAACCUUCGGUAUCUAUAUCUACAGUACAACUUGCUGGAAGGCGCUAUAUCACCAACCUUGGGUUCACUAGUGAAUCUUCGGCAACUGUAUCUCUACUUCAAUAGGUUAUCAGGCUCAAUUCCUGAUGAAUUGGGAAAUCUCAGCAAUCUUACUACAUUGGAUAUUUCUGAGAACCAGCUCACUGGUCCUCUUCCCAAAACACUUGGAAAUUUGAAAUCCCUCAGCGGCUUCUGGGCCACAGCCAAUUCCUUGAAUGAUAAAUUUCCGGACACUUAUGGGAACCUUACGAGUCUAAAAUAUUUUUCAAUAUCCGGGAAUUAUAUCUCUGGUCCAUUCCCAGUUGACAGCAUAAAGAACUGGACUAAUAUUGAAACUCUGUCACUCGUGGGAAACAAUUUCAAAGGAAAUUUGGCUAAAGAAGUAUUCAAUUUGCCAGAACUUCGGUAUCUGUAAGUG